rnacentral:rRNA from 1 species
GACGGAGGAUGCAAGCGUUAUCCGGAAUUAUUGGGCGUAAAGCGUCCGCAGGUGGUUUUACAAGUCUGUUGUCAAAGCGCGAGGCUCAACCUUGUAAAGGCAAUGGAAACUGAAAGACUAGAGUGCGGUAGGGGUAGAGGGAAUUCCCGGUGUAGCGGUGAAAUGCGUAGAUAUCGGGAAGAACACCAGUGGCGAAAGCGCUCUACUGGGCCUGCACUGACACUGAGGGACGAAAGCUAGGGGAGCGAAAGGG